AGCAGCCGCGGUAAUUCCAGCUCCAAUAGCGUAUAUUAAAGUUGUUGCAGUUAAAAAGCUCGUAGUUGAAUUUCGGGAUCAAUUAAUCGGUCGUGCCUCUGGUACGCACUGGUUUUAUUGGUUUCUCCCUUCUGACGAACCAGGAUGUCAUUAAUUUGGUGUCUUGGAGAAUCAGGACUGUUACUUUGAAAAAAUUAGAGUGUUUAAAGCAGGCUAACGCUUGAAUACAUUAGCAUGGAAUAAUGAAAUAGGACGUUUGAUCCUAUUUUGUUGGUUUCUAGGAUCGACGUAAUGAUUAAUAGGGAUAGUUGGGGGCAUUAGUAUUCAAUUGUCAGAGGUGAAAUUCUUGGAUUUAUUGAAGACUAACUACUGCGAAAGCAUUUGCCAAGGAUGUUUUCAUUAAUCAAGAACGAAGUUAGGGGAUCGAAGACGAUCAGAUACCGUCGUAGUCUUAACCAUAAACUAUGCCGACUAGGGAUCGGAUGAUGUUAAUUUUUUAAUGACUCAUUCGGCGCCUUAC
rnacentral:rRNA from 1 species